rnacentral:rRNA from 1 species
GUGUCAGCAGCCGCGGUAAUACGGAGGGUGCAAGCGUUGUUCGGAAUUACUGGGCGUAAAGCGGGUGUAGGCGGCCGCACAAGUCAGAUGUGAAAUCCCUGGGCCCAACCCAGGAACUGCAUUUGAUACUGCGCGGCUCGAGUCCCGGAGAGGAUGGCGGAAUUCCAGGUGUAGAGGUGAAAUUCGUAGAUAUCUGGAGGAACACCAGCGGCGAAGGCGGCCAUCUGGACGGUGACUGACGCUCAGACCCGAAAGCGUGGGGAGCAAACAGGAUUAGAAACCCUAGUAGUCC